rnacentral:rRNA from 1 species
AGUGAACGCUGGCGGUAGGCCUAACACAUGCAAGUCGAACGGCAGCACAGUAAGAGCUUGCUCUUACGGGUGGCGAGUGGCGGACGGGUGAGGAAUACAUCGGAAUCUACUUUUUCGUGGGGGAUAACGUAGGGAAACUUACGCUAAUACCUCAUACUACCUACGGGUGAAAGCAGGGGAUCUUCGGACCUUGCGCGAUUGAAUGAGCCGAUGUCGGAUUAGCUAGUUGGCGGGGUAAAGGCCCACCAAGGCGACGAUCCGUAGCUGGUCUGAGAGGAUGAUCAGCCACACUGGAACUGAGACACGGUCCAGACUCCUACGGGAGGCAGCAGUGGGGAAUAUUGGACAAUGGGCGCAAGCCUGAUCCAGCCAUACCGCGUGGGUGAAGAAGGCCUUCGGGUUGUAAAGCCCUUUUGUUGGGAAAGAGAAGCAGCAGGUUAAUACCCCGCUGUUCUGACGGUACCCAAAGAAUAAGCACCGGCUAACUUCGUG